rnacentral:rRNA from 1 species
CGUAGGGUGCGAGCGUUAAUCGGAAUUACUGGGCGUAAAGCGUGCGCAGGCGGUUUCGUAAGUCUGUCGUGAAAUCCCCGGGCUUAACCUGGGAAUGGCGAUGGAGACUGCGAGGCUAGAGUUUGGCAGAGGGGGGUAGAAUUCCACGUGUAGCAGUGAAAUGCGUAGAGAUGUGGAGGAACACCGAUGGCGAAGGCAGCCCCCUGGGUCAAAACUGACGCUCAUGCACGAAAGCGUGGGGAGCAAACAGGAUUAGAUACCCUGGUAGUCCACGCCCUAAACGAUGUCUACUAGUUGUUGGGUCUUAAUUGACUUAGUAACGCAGCUAACGCGUGAAGUAGACCGCCUGGGGAGUACGGUCGCAAGAUUA